CAAAAAGGGCAAACUCGAAAGGGUGAUCAGGUUUCCCGUAGGUUCCGAAGACGGUGUCCAACCAAUCCUCUUGGGCGAAACUUGUGAUUAGUUGCAGAUUUCAGUCUAUCAGAAUCACUUGGGCAACCAAAUCAUCGAGUUAGGUAAACAGAGACGAACAGAGUUGAGGUUUUACAAGAUUCCAACAAUCCAAAAAUUCUAUCCUUCCGCUGUGUGAAGGGAGCUGCUUCCCAAACAUCACUCGCAAACUUACACUGAAAAAACAGAUGAGGGAUAGAUUCAAUGGCACCACGUCUCUUACAUACCGGCUCAACAUUGAUAUGUCUUUCUACCAGUCUUGCGCUCACAGGGAGGGCUCCUUUAGCUGCUUUCCAGAUCAACAUUUUAACCUUUGGGGCUGUAGGUAGGUUCCAUACAGACUGGAACCAGUUGACGUUGACGUCUGAAGGUUGAAGGCCAUGUGAAAAAAACAUUGCAUAGUAUAUAUAAACCUUUCAAAAACUUUGAUAUUUUUUCUUUGAAUCAGAAUAUUUUAAGCCAAAAACCUAGCUCAUUUUAAAAAUAAAAAUUAGAUUUUCAUCCGCCUUUUAAGACACUGAGAUUGUUGUUUAGCGUUUAACAAAAUUUUAGUUUUUGUCAUUUUUAAUUAUUUAUGAAUUAUUAAACAAAAAUUGUCAAAGGAGGUAAGAUAAUUAAUUCAAUUCUCUUUGCAGCCAAGUGAAGAGAAUUUAACAUUAGUAUUUGUCUGCUACGAAACUGAGAUUCUUUUUUCUGCACGAAUCAUAAAUAAAAGCUGAGAUAUCUUGACUUAUGAUUUGUAGCCAAUGAAAGGGUAUUUUCUUUUCUAGUUUGUGUUUGGUAAUAACACUAUGGUUUGUGUCCACCACAUAUUUGUUUCUUUUCUAGGUAAAAUUAUUGUGUUCUGUUUUUUUUAUUAAAAUAUACUAGUAACCAUUUUAAUUAGAGUAGGCGCUAAAAUGGUUCUUGAGGAGCACUAAAUGUGUAUCAUACAUUGAAUGUGUAAUUGUGUAUUAAUAGAAUCCAUUUGUACAAAAAAUACCCUUAAUGAGAAGUUCAUAUAUAGUGUUAAAGCGAGUUGCAUUUUUGUAAAUCGUGUAUGAGAGAAAUGUUAUAUUUAUAGAAUACUAGGGUCUUUGUCCGCGCUACGCGCAGAAAAUAGAUUUAAAUAUAUUAUGUUUAAGAUUUAAAUCUUUAAAUAAUAUUAAAAAUUUAUUUGAUAUGUUUAAUUAAGUUUUUUUAGAUGUGGAUAUUGAAAAAAAUAUGUGAAAUAUAAUUGUGUGUUGACUCUUUUAAUAUUUGGCGUUAAUUGUAGCAGAAAAUAUUACUCGUUUGAACUAAUUUGGGCCAUAUAAUUAAAACUAAAAAAUUGUAGUUGCAUGCUUUUAACGUGAAACUCUUGCAGAAUGAAAUAAGCAAUUUUAUUAAAUAUAUGGGAGCAAAUUUUAUUUGAUAUUAUAAUGUAUUACUAUAAAGGUUUUAAAAAGCGAAUUGUUUCCAAAAUAAGUGCAAAAGUAUGAAACAAGCAAUUUGAGAAGAAAGA